rnacentral:rRNA from 1 species
UACGGAGGAUCCAAGCGUUAUCCGGAUUUAUUGGGUUUAAGGGGUGCGUAGGCGGAUUGAUAAGUUAGAGGUGAAAUGUCCGAGCUCAACUCGGGAACUGCCUCUAAUACUGUUGAUCUAGAGAGUAGAUGCGGCAGGCGGAAUGUAUGGUGUAGCGGUGAAAUGCUUAGAGAUCAUACAGAACACCGAUUGCGAAGGCAGCUUACCAAUCUAUAUCUGACGUUGAGGCACGAAAGCGUGGGGAGCAAACAGG